AUUGAACGCUGGCGGCAUGCCUUACACAUGCAAGUCGAACGGCAGCACGGGAGCAAUCCUGGUGGCGAGUGGCGAACGGGUGAGUAAAGUAUCGGAACGUGCCCAGUCGUGGGGGAUAACGUAGCGAAAGUUACGCUAAUACCGCAUACGAUCUAUGGAUGAAAGCGGGGGAUCGCAAGACCUCGCGCGAUUGGAGCGGCCGAUAUCAGAUUAGGUAGGUGGUGGGGUAAAGGCUCACCAAGCCGACGAUCUGUAGCUGGUCUGAGAGGACGACCAGCCACGCUGGGACUGAGACACGGCCCAGACUCCUACGGGAGGCAGCAGUGGGGAAUUUUGGACGAUGGGCGAAAGCCUGAUCCAGCCAUGCCGCGUGCAGGAUGAAGGCCUUCGGGUUGUAAACUGCUUUUGUACGGAACGAAAAGGUUUGGGCUAAUAAGCUGAGCUCAUGACGGUACCGUAAGAAUAAGCACCGGCUAACUACGUGCCAGCAGCCGCGGUAAGAC
rnacentral:rRNA from 1 species